rnacentral:lncRNA from 1 species
UAGCGAUGAAACAACUGGACUUAGAGAAGUUGCAUCAAAACCAAUUUCAGUAGUUUUAGUUACCUGCUUCGGCAGACGAGCACUAACUUACCAGCCCAUUCUAAAAGGCUGUCCUUGUAUAGGAGCAUGGAAAGAAGUUCAGUCCUUCACUAAAUUUAAAGUUUUAUUUAUAGAAAGUUGACCGCAUUAGUCAGUUAAUAUUUACAUUUAGGUAACACAAAUCAAAACAAACUAAAAAGCCACAAUUUUAAGGCAGGCAGGCAGGCAAAGAUAAAGACAAAAAAUAGUAAAAUUGUGAUUAUUUCACUCUGAUUUAGUCCAAAGUUUUAGAAUUUCUUAAUCAGAUUAGCAGGAAGAGUAGAUUUGUCCAAGUCAUCGAAGUAUGGGUGGUUCAAGGCCAUUUUGCCAGAAAUUCUUUUUGCAGGAUCAUAAAUUAACAUUUUAGACAACAGAUCGAGUCCAUCCUCAUCUAAGUUUUGGACAUGCGUUCCCAGGCUGCCAGGUUUCCAUUUUGGGAAAGUGUUUUUAUAGUCUUGCAAGGAUUCCACAUCAGGCCACACAUCAUUGUUGGGUGUCCCUAAAGCUCUGAAGAUUCUGAAGAGCUGGUCAAUCUCUGAGUCCCCGUGGAAAAGUGGCUUUUUAGUUGCUAACUCUGCAAAUAUGGUACCUAUGCUCCAUAUGUCUACAGGAGUGGAAUAACGAGCAGAUCCUAGCAGUACCUCUGGAGACCUGUACCACAGUGUCACUACUUCAUGAGUGUAUACCCGCACUGGGAUUCCAAAGGCUCGAGCCAAUCCAAAAUCUGCCAGUUUAAUCACCCCUUUGUCAUCUAUUAGAAGAUUCUGAGGUUUUAAGUCUCUGUGCAGAACUCGUCUUGAAUGGCAGAAGACGAUACCUUGCAAGAUCUGAUACAGGUAACUCUGCAGACAGGAAGAGGUGAGAGGAAGGGGGGGGAAAAAAAACAACACAUGAACUUCACUGAAGUCAGUGGUUCUACAACGUAAAGCUGUUUCCUUAUAUCAACUCUGCCCAUAGAAGUAGAUCCAAAGCAUUGCAAAAAUCGAGUUCAACCAAAAAUCCAUACAAAGUUGAGUGUCUGAGUUUAGUUCAAGGCAGUUAAUUUCAUAGUUGCAUUUGAGAGCGGAACUUUCUUUUAAAGAAAAGUUCAUCUUAUUAUUCACAGCUGCCUCUUCAGUCCUUCCUUCUUCCUCAAGGAAAUAUUGAGUUAAGAGCAAGAGAUAAGACUUGCUUAUAGCUUUGUAGGGCACCUUUAAUUUUUAAGUUACACAAAGAAAUUAUCCUCAUUACCUUAACACGCGAACGAUCCAAAUAUUGGCCAGAUGGAAUAGUAUCCAAGUAUUUCUUGAGGUCCAUGGAAAGGAAUUCAAAAAUGAGGUACAGCCUUGCAUCCUGCAUAAGAACAUCCUGAAGACUGAAAAUUGAGGAUACAGUCAACUGCACUGCAAAAAGCACAGAUCCACUCGUUUGCUUCCCCUCUCAACAUGGAGGCAAGCUGAUGUUUCUUAGGUACCUAAUAAGAAAGGCUUACAAAGCUUUCUCUCAGUCUUCAAAGAUUAACAGCCUUAGCAAGUUGCACUGUUGUUUGGAAAACUGAGCAUAUAUGAGACAGUGCCC